rnacentral:rRNA from 1 species
UAAGUGAAGAGUUUGAUCCUGGCUCAGAGUGAACGCUGGCGGUAGGCCUAACACAUGCAAGUCGAACGGCAGCACAGGAGAGCUUGCUCUCUGGGUGGCGAGUGGCGGACGGGUGAGGAAUACAUCGGAAUCUACUCUGUCGUGGGGGAUAACGUAGGGAAACUUACGCUAAUACCGCAUACGACCUACGGGUGAAAGCAGGGGACCUUCGGGCCUUGCGCGAUUGAAUGAGCCGAUGUCGGAUUAGCUA